UACGUAGGGGGGCAAGCGUUGUCCGGAAUCACUGGGCGUAAAGCGCGCGCAGGCGGUCUUUCACGUCCGGGGUGAAAGCCCAGAGCUCAACUCUGGGAUUGCCUUGGAUACGGGGAGACUUGAGGAUCGGAGAGGCAAGGGGAAUUCCACGUGUAGCGGUGAAAUGCGUAGAGAUGUGGAGGAACACCUGUGGCGAAGGCGCCUUGCUGGCCGAUUUCUGACGCUGAGGCGCGAAAGCGUGGGGAGCAAACAGG
rnacentral:rRNA from 1 species